GGGGGGGGGGGGGGGGGGGGGGGGGGGGGGGGGGGGGGGGGGGGAGGGGGGGGGGUGGGGGGGGGGGCGUUAGGGGCGGGGGGGUGAGUGGGGGGUGGAGGGGCUGCCUGUGGGCCUGGGGUAACUUCGGGCAACGGGGGCUGGUGCGGGUUACUAUGUUGACCCGCGUGGUUCAAUGGUGAAAGGGGGUUUUGCUGUCCCUUAUAGGUGGGUCCGGGCCGCAUUAGCUAGUUGGUAAGGUAACUGCUGACCAAGGGAACGAUGCGGAGCCGACCUGAGAGGGUGAUCGGCCACACUGGAACUGAGACACGGUCCAGACUCCUACGGGAGGCAGCAGUAGGGAAUCUGCCGCAAUGGGCGAAAGCCUGACGGAGCAACGCCGCGUGAGUGAUGAAGGUCUUCGGAUCGUAAAACUCUGUUAUUAGGGAAGAACAAAUGUGUAAGUAACUAUGCACGUCUUGACGGUACCCAAUCAGAAAGCCACGGCUAACUACGUG
rnacentral:rRNA from 1 species